GAUGAACGCUGGCGGCGUGCCUAAUACAUGCAAGUCGAGCGAACGGACGAGAAGCUUGCUUCUCUGAUGUUAGCGGCGGACGGGUGAGUAACACGUGGAUAACCUACCUAUAAGACUGGGAUAACUUCGGGAAACCGGAGCUAAUACCGGAUAAUAUUUUGAACCGUAUGGUUCAAAAGUAAAAGACGGUCUUGCUGUCACUUAUAGAUGGAUCCGCGCUGCAUUAGCUAGUUGGUAAGGUAACGGCUUACCAAGGCAACGAUGCAUAGCCGACCUGAGAGGGUGAUCGGCCACACUGGAACUGAGACACGGUCCAGACUCCUACGGGAGGCAGCAGUAGGGAAUCUUCCGCAAUGGGCGAAAGCCUGACGGAGCAACGCCGCGUGAGUGAUGAAGGUCUUCGGAUCGUAAAACUCUGUUAUUAGGGAAGAACAUAUGUGUAAGUAACUGUGCACAUCUUGACGGUACCUAAUCAGAAAGCCACGGCUAACUACGUG
rnacentral:rRNA from 1 species